CCUACGGGAGGCAGCAGUGGGGAAUAUUGGGCAAUGGGCGCAAGCCUGACCCAGCAACGCCGCGUGAAGGAAGAAGGCCCUCGGGUGGUAAACUUCUUUUGUCAGGGACGAAGAAAGUGACGGUACCUGACGAAUAAGCCACGGCUAACUACGUGCCAGCAGCCGCGGUAAUACGUAGGUGGCAAGCGUUAUCCGGAUUUACUGGGUGUAAAGGGCGUGUAGGCGGGACUGCAAGUCAGAUGGGAAAUUCCAGGGCUCAACCCUGGAACUGCAUUGGAAACUGUAGUUCUUGAGGGAUGGGGAGGCCGGCGGAAUUCCGUGUGUAGCGGUUACCUGCGUAGUUAUCCG
rnacentral:rRNA from 1 species